CCGACCGGUACCCGUCCUACCUGAAACACCCUCAAAUUUUAUUCGAGGUAAACUCUCCCAAAUUCGAGGUGAACUCUCUCAAAUUCUCUAUCGGUGAAUACAUGUGAGUGGAGAAAAAAAAGCAAAAUGGGGGAUUGGGCUAAAAAGAAACUUAUGGAAUUUUUGUGACCCGUCAAAAAUGACAAUCAAUUUUGCAAAACAAAACAAUGGGUUUCGGAUUUUAAGAGUAAGUUUUUGUUAAUUGUUUUGAUUUUUAAUAUAAUUUGAUAUUUUUCAGACCAAAAUUCUUUAUAAUGAAGAGGGUAUAUACAAGUUCACUUCAUUGAAUAAAAAGUAAGUCAAAUUGCAGUGAAGGAGGUGCAACAAUAAUGGAUUUAUUUUAUAGUCUGUCUUUUCAUUUUUGAUAUUGCUAAAAUGCAGGAAGCAAUUUCCUUUAUGUAAUUUGGAAAGCAUACCAAACAAGGCGCUGAUUUGCUGAUGCUGCCCAUUGUUUUUGUAUGUACUUCUCAAUGGCAAGAGCUGCCGCAGGCGUUGACGGCGGAGGUGACACCAUCAAAACCAUUAGAAACAACACCAUCAAGUCAAUGAUGCAAGUGGAAGUUUUGCCAUGUAAUAGUCGACCGCUGACGCCCUUCUCCAUCAAUUGUGUAAGUACGUAUCGAAACAUUCAUAUCGUAGUCAACUAGCUUAAUCUUCAUCUUCUAGGUGUAAAGAGUUUACUACCAGUCUGCAGUUCUGCAAGAGACGCAAGAAAAACAAGAAUAUAAUCGCAGGAAUACUCAAAAAUUGUCCAACCUUGACUGUAAGAGAGUUCAAAUUUUAAAUCUACAACGAAUCCAUUUAUUUUGCUCCUAAGAAUCGCACUGGCUUAACGAAGGCAAAUGAGCUGGCCCGACAAGAAUCCCCAAGAAGCCAAACAGAUUCAGAUCAGUCUCUCGGCAGCUACUGACGAUGUCGGCGAGUGGAUUCCAUCGAUUUUCACACAGAAAAUCAACAUCAAAAAAAUCACGACAAUUUAGCAGCGUCAUGGUCAACCUGCCGAUCAACUAUUCACAGUGAAUAACCUCCAUUCGCAGCGGAAGCGACAAUGCGAAAACAAUGUCAUCAAGCCGGAGUACCAUCCAGGAUCUAUCAAGUAUCGCAUUCAAUUGCUUGCUAACUACCAUGUGCCCAACGUUCUGCUUGUGCGUUGUGAAAACCACUGAAGCCUGGCACGUCCACUGAAUUGAUCCCCAAGCUAACUAACCCAACGAUGUACCAUAUGGCCACAACCAUUAUGAAACUGCCAACCAAGGAAGAGGAACGGCGAAUGAUCGACUUCGAAUAAAAGUUCAACGAAAGGAACAAAAUUCCACCACUUGAAGAAAGUCCAAUAAAGUAACAAUCAAAUUGAACUUCACACCUGAAGAAGGACUGAAACCAGGCGAUGAUGUUACCCUUAGUUUCUUGAUGAAAUAUACUUUUGUGAAUACAUACACACGCCCGAAAAGAAAGAACGUCAAAAACACGCAUUAUCAUCGAAAGUUUUUGUUGGUCAAAUUGAAGCCUAAAUUUAUUUAUAUGUAUAUCUAGAAAUUAAUCUUUUUUGCAAACAACUUGUUUAUUUAUUUUGAGCUAUAGUGUAAAUUUUGUAUAUAUUGUAUAUUCUCCU